CUGGGGUGCUCGAGUGGCGAACGGGUGAGUAACACGUGGGUGAUCUGCCCUGCACUUCGGGAUAAGCUUGGGAAACUGGGUCUAAUACCGGAUAGGACCAUCGUUUAGUGUCGGUGGUGGAAAGUUUUUUCGGUGUGGGAUGAGCUCGCGGCCUACCAGCUUGUUGGUGGGGUAAUGGCCUACCAAGGCGUCGACGGGUAGCCGGCCUGAGAGGGUGUACGGCCACAUUGGGACUGAGAUACGGCCCAG
rnacentral:rRNA from 1 species